rnacentral:rRNA from 1 species
AGCGAACGCUGGCGGCAGGCCUAACACAUGCAAGUCGAACGGAUCCUUUGGGAUUAGUGGCGGAUGGGUGAGUAACACGUGGGAACGUGCCCUUUGGUUCGGAACAACUCAGGGAAACUUGAGCUAAUACCGGAUGUGCCCUUCGGGGGAAAGAUUUAUCGCCAUUGGAGCGGCCCGCGUCUGAUUAGCUAGUUGGUGAGGUAACGGCCCACCACGGCGACGAUCAGUAGCUGGUCUGAGAGGAUGAUCAGCCACACUGGGACUGAGACACGGCCCAGACUCCUACGGGAAGCAGCAGUGGGGAAUCUUGCGCAAUGGGCGAAAGCCUGACGCAGCCAUGCCGCGAGAAUGAUGAAGGUCUUAGGAUUGUAAAAUUCUUUCAGCGGGGACGAUAAUGACGGUACCCGCAGAAGAAGCUCCGGCUAACUUCGUG